ACAUGACUGCUACAUGCAGUAUAUUCUGCAUGGGAUCCUGGAACAGGUGAAGACCAUUGGAGAAAAACUAGUGACAUUUUAACACAGCAUGGUUUAGCUGAUAAUAACAUAUCCAUGUGAGUUCAUCACAAUGUCAGCUGCGAUGAACGUACCACAGUGAUCUGAGAGGUUAACAGGGGAAACCGGAUGUGGCAUAUAUGCACAAAAUCUGUACUAUUUUUGCAACUAUUCUAUAAAACUAUUCUAACUUAAAAGUUUUUUUAAGCAAUCUAGAAAUAGAUUAUUAUUUUUCUUGAAGAAUUAAUCGUAGCAUAUAAUUCAUAGCAAAUUGACCACAGUCUUCUCUAAUUCUCCAGUCUCUCAAACUCACUGGUGGACCUUCUCCCCAAAUCUAUAUUCAUCCCUCAUCUCCAUCUGUCUACUUGGUCACUUUCCUCCUUAUCUCUCUUCUUUAAGCUCCAUCUUCCUUAGUACAAGAUGCUUCCCAUCAGACAGAGCCCCGUGGAAAUUUAAUUUAUCUUCUGACUCUUUUUCUUGGAAUUAGGUAACCAGACUCUUGUCCUCUGCACUCCUCCUUGUCUCUGCUUCAGUCCAGGGCUGGGGUGAGCUAUGGACAAUGUUGAUCAUUCAAAUUUCCAUUUAUAUGCACAGCUGGACAUGAAUACAUUAGCAACGUAAGGAGGAAAAAGGCACAUCUCACUAAAUGCAAAGUUAGUGAAGGAAGAAGUAAAAGUAGACCUUAACUACCACGCUUUUUAUCUUUACCCCCCAUAUCAUAUAUUUAGUAAGAAUCACUGAGUAUCAGAUUUGAAGGAAUUUGGUAGAUAUCCAAUUCUAUGUUCUCAAUUUGCACCUUAGGAAAAUAAGCGCCAGAUGGUCCCAGGGGCCAGGCCAACAUAAUGCAGUUAAUGACCAGAGGAUCCAUGACUCUUCUCCUCUUUGCUUUUUGUGUUCUUCAAGCACCAAGUUCAAACUUUUGUCAAAAUGCAAAAGAGCUACGGCCUUUGAUGUGGUGAUUCUUCUUUUUUUUUGUCAAGCAAGAAACACAGAAAGAAAUAAAAUAACAAAUGAAUACACAAAACGUAUCAGACUGACCAAAUAUUAUGNAUUCUUUUUGAUUUCAAGACAUAUCUGGAAAUUUGCAUCCAAUAAAAGAUCUGGAAAGAUCAACAUGUCCACCUGCUUGAUUAGCCAUCAGCCAUUGCCUUCCAGCUCUGGGUGCUCAGAAAUGUAGGGCUUCUCAGCCCCACCCCUCAGGUAUGUUCCUCAUUAAAUAUACAGCAACCAUUGUUCUCCUUACACCUUUGAGAGCUUCAGAAUGCUAACGUCUUAUUUAAUCACUCCUGUCUUUAUCACUUCCUUCAGGAGUCUUUCAUUCAUUUGCUCAGGCUGUGUUCAUUCAUCUCCAAUUUGCCAGACACUGAGCAAAGUGCUAGGAAUACAAACAUUAAUAGGUAUCAUCCCUAAAAUCUAGGUGCACACUGCCUGCUAAUUUAAGUGUUGGUGAACAAGGCAAUGCUUCAUGUAAAAUCUACAGAAUUUUAAAUUUACUAUGUUCAUUAAUUAGUGAAUACUAUUGCAUGACCCACUAGGAGUUCCUGUUAUGGCUCAGUGGAAAUGAACCUGGCUAGUAACCAUGAGGAUGCAGGUUUGAUCCCUGGCCUCACUCAGUGGGUUGCUGCAAGCUGUGGUGCAGGUUGCAGAUUUGGCAUGGAUCUGGCAUUACUGUGGCUGUGGUGUAGGCCAGCGGCCCUAAAAAAAAAACACUAAAUCAUCCCUUAAGUGUAAAUGUUUAUAUAUGAUACAUGCACAUAACAUAUUUUAAUUUCUACACAUCGGUCAAUAAAAAUUCAAUAUUGAAAUUAUGAAUAUUGAAUAUUAAAACAUUAUCCGGUUAAUAAUUAUUUCAAACAUUUAAAAAAUGGUAUAAGUUGAUCAAGUCCUCUGUUUCUCUAUUUCUCUGACUUCUGGAUUAUCCAGUAAUGAUUUCAGUAUUUUCUCUGCCCUUUAUGCAACCAUAGGAUACCAAGGCUAUCUCAAGGUCUAAAUCAAGCUCAGACACAUUAGCCUCUAUUUACAAUAGAAAUCAAGAAAUAUUUUCCCACCCAGUUACACAAAAGAUAUGGGAGUGAGUAUACAGCCCAGGUUGUAGAAGGAGUUAAGAAUGAAGUAAUUUUACUAACUUACACAACACAAAGUAUAAAUAUAAUGCCUAGUUAUAGACACUCUCAACACUCAUUUCUCUAGUUUGCUACCUAUUGACUUUGGUCUAUAAAUCCAGUGUUACUGCAGAAAUUGUAGACAGUAGCUCUGUUUGGCACAAUCUAUGAGAUUAGGUAAUUUUAUUGUCCCACCAAAGAAGAAAUACUUCAAAAUAAUAUCACAUAAUUCCCACAGCUUAUCAGUCUGUUCUGAUGCCGACACUCUGUUGCUUUUGAAAAUUAUAGUUUCUUUUGCAUAGCUUUUUGUGCUAACAAUAUUAUUUGGUCAAGGUAUAAUGAAAACAAACUCAUUUAUUGUCAGUCACUGUUCAGAGUAAGAGGCAGAAAAAACUGCUGCAGAAGCUUUCUACAAGCUAAUUGCCUAAGUUCUAAGAAACAUUCCACAAGAACUCGUCACAAGAAUAAAAAUAAGAAUAGUUUUGGAAGUAGUGACUGUGACAUUCACUUUGCAGGCAUCAUCGUAUUUCGGCCUCACAAAAGCUCUGCAAAUCAAGUAUAAUUGUUAACAUUUUAUAGAUGAGGAUUUUGAAGGUCUGGGAGAGAACUUGCUUAAGUUAAUACACCCUUAUAGACGGUGGGACUGGAAUUAAAAGCCCAGAAUGUGCUGCCCUUGCUUUCAAAUUUUAAGAAAUUUUUCUUUCAAAAAAAUUUU
ensembl:lncRNA